UGAAAGUUAGAGUUUUACGAAUGUGGGAUGCAAUUAAUAUAGCAAACAACAAUGAUCUGAUUAGCCUCGAUAUGAUAUUGGUUGACAAAGAGAUGUGAUUGGCAUAUUGGACUACAUUGGAGCCAUUGAGGAGAUCAAAACAAGAGGGCGUCCAACAAAGAUAAGAAACAUUCAACUGUUGUUAGAAGAGAACAAAUCUGUUCAAACAACUUUAUGGGGAAAUACUGCACAACAAAUAGAUGAUGAUUUCUACAAAACAAAUAAAGGGCCAUUCAUAGUAAUAGUGAC